GGACUACAGGGGUAUCUAAUCCUGUUCGCUCCCCACGCUUUCGUCCAUCAGCGUCAAUCCGCCGGUAGUAACCUGCCUUCGCAAUCGGUAUUCCAUGUAAUAUCUAAGCAUUUCACCGCUACACUACAUAUUCUAGUUACUUCCCGGCAAUUCAAGCCCUGCAGUAUCAACGGCAGUUUCCCAGUUGAGCUGGAAGAUUUCACCGCUGACUUACAGGGCCGCCUACGGACCCUUUAAACCCAAUGAUUCCGGAUAACGCUUGGAUCCUCCGUAUUACCGCGGCUGCUGGCAC
rnacentral:rRNA from 1 species